rnacentral:misc_RNA from 1 species
GAUGAAGAACGUAGCGAAAUGCGAUACGUAAUGUGAAUUGCAGAAUUCAGUGAAUCAUCGAAUCUUUGAACGCAUAUUGCGCUCUUUGGUAUUCCGAAGAGCAUGCUUGUUUGAGUAUCAGUAAACACCUCAACCUCUUCUUGAUUUUUCAAAAGGAGGGUGGACUUGAGCUAUCCCAACAACCUUUACCGGUCGGCGGGCGGCUUGAAAUGCAGGUGCAGCUGGACUUUUAUCUGAGCUAAAAGCAUAUCUAUUUAGUCCUCGUCAAACAGGAUUAUUACUUUUGCUGCAGCUAACAUAAAGGAUAAUUGUCCUCUUUGCUGACUGAUGCAGGAUUUUACGACACUUUAUGUGUUGUUCAACUCGAUCUCAAAUCUAGUAAGACUACCCGCUGAACUUAAGCAUAUCAAUAAGCGGAGGA